ACACAGUCUUUUUAUCAGUAACUAAUAAUUACUGCUUGAGCUCCAAUCAUUCAGUAACUAAUAAUUAACUAACCAGUAGCUCCUCAUUCGUUCCUCAUUCAUUUAACAGUACCUACCAUAAAUGUGGCCUUCCCG